AUACGGAGGAUUCGAGCGUUAUCCGGAAUUAUUGGGUUUAAAGGGUGCGCAGGCGGACCGUUAAGUCAGCGGUGAAAAUCUGGUGCUUAACAUCAGGAGUGCCGUUGAUACUGGCGGACUAGAGUAUGAUUGACGUAAGUGGAAUGUAGCAUGUAGCGGUGAAAUGCAUAGAGAUGCUACAGAACACCGAUAGCGAAGGCAGCUUACGAAGUCACAACUGACGCUCAGGCACGAAAGCGUGGGGAGCGGACAGGAUUAGAUACCCUGGUAGUCCACGCAGUAAACGAUGAUAACUGGCUUUUGGCGAUAGACGGUCAGAGGCUGAGAGAAAUCAAUAAGUUAUCCACCUGGGGAGUACGAUGGCAACAUUGAAACUCAAAUGAAUUGACGGGG
rnacentral:rRNA from 1 species